UAGAACUGGAGGUGUUUCAGAAUUUGUCUAGCAGGUUUCCCGGUUUUUACUGAAACCAAA
rnacentral:snRNA from 1 species